CGCGGAUCCCCGCGCGGGGGCGGGGGCCAAGCAGACCCGUGCGGCCGGCACGACCCGUGUCCCCGCGCCUCCCCCGGCCGCAGUGCCCAGGCGCAGGGCUGGGGGGCCCUCUGAGUGCCUGCGCUCGGCACGGCGCUGACCCCCGGUGGGCAUCGUCCGCCCUGUGGCUCAGCACAACCUUGCCUCCCAUCGGAAAGCCUCGAGUCUAACCCGAGUCGUCCUGGCUGCAGCGGAUGGCGGAGGGCCCCAGCGUGGGGACGCAACGCGGCUUUUCCCCGCGGCAACAUAGAGGUUGCACACAGCCUGCAGCUGCGAAGCUGGCUGCAAAACCAGGACCCGCAGCGAGAGGCUGGGCGGGGAAGGAGGAGGAAGUGCCCUGGGCCGCGGGCAGGUGAGCUGCCUGGCACGGGCGCGGCAGCCAGCUGGGGAGGGGGAGGGGCGGUCCCAGCAACCACCAGGGCAGCACGGCUGGGAGGCUUUGCUUUUCUCCGUCUCUCCCUCCCUUUCCAGGAAGCCGGCCAGCGCGGAGCCGCCGCUCACCCCGACUCACCCCCAGCCCGGGGCCGGCAGGAAUGUGGAAGUUGCCUCAAAAGACUUGUGCCCCCUCCCCUCCAAAAACACAUCCAGCUUAGGCCCAGGGCAUCAGCGGCAGCCCACAUUGACGCCCCGCUCCACCUCCGGGGUUCCGGAACAGCCCAGAGCGCUGGAGCAAUUCCUCAGCCCACUCUAACAUCGCAAGACCCCCUAGUGCUUUUCCAGCCAUCAGCAGCCUCCCACUCUGCGUUUAGGGCUUUUAUAACAGCACAACGUUUAUUCUGCUGUGUCAUACAGCAUUUUGCCAGAGCUGUGAGAGGGGAGGGGCCAGUCUCGUGCCCCAGCAUAUCCCCAGGGCCAAACCUGGAGCUGACCCAGAGCAGGAGUGCGAUUCCUAUUUUUGAAUGAAUUAAGAAACGACUGUCUUUCUCUCCGACUGGGCUCCUUUCAGGCAGGGUGAUUAUGCCUGGAUUCUAUGUUCAAGUUUUCGGAUGAUUUUAUGCCUGACUGGUGCUGCAUACUUUAUAGUUUAGGACUGCCUGCUUCCCAGGUUUGCUGUGAAAAUAGAGAUGAUGGCUGGGAGGGACUUUGAGCAUCUAAAAGAACCCCCCCUCUGAACCUGGAAGGCUGUCACACCUGCUGGGGGUUCAUCUACUUUGGAGAUUGUGGCCUCUUCUCUGGGAAGCAGGCCCCCUACUCUCAAAAACCUAGUUAAAGCCUCGCUGGGUCCUGCACUUCAGGACUAACUGGAGCCCACAUAGGGGGUGCACAGUGUGUUCUGAGAGCCUAGGGAGGGGACUGGGGACAAGGUCUGGUCCAUCAGGGAAGAGGCUUCCACAGGGGUGAUCUUGCCUCCGGCAUCCUGAUGGCAGAAAUCAUCUCAAAGGAGGCUCUGCCGGCCAGUCCGCCCCUCCUGCCAGCCUAGAAACCCCAGGGCCUAAUAGGGAGAAAGUGCACAAUAUAUUUACCCUUAUUGAGUGACAGUGUAGAUGGGAGGCAUCCUGUGAGUGAGAUUGGCUCCAAAGCUGACUCCCAGCCAACUCCAGCUGCAGGUGUGAGGACCCUGGCUCAGGUCUCUUGCAGAAAAAUGCAGACUUUGUUCCCCACAAGGUCACUACCCAGAAAGUGAUAAGUGGAGAAAAGGCAACAUGAAAGCUAAGGGCCAGGGUUUCUGAGGAGGGGAAGGACUUCUAGUUGGCUGCCUUGGGGGUACUAGAAGACCAGGCAUUUGCUCUGGGCCUUAAAACAAAGACUGAAAUUGAAGUGUGUGUUUGAGGGGGU
ensembl:lncRNA